CCUACGGGAGGCAGCAGUCGAGAAUAUUCGACAAUGGGCGAAAGCCUGAUCGAGCGACGUCGCGUGUGGGAUUAAGAUCUUCGGAUUGUAAACCACUUUUCUAGGGGAGGAACUUUGACUGUACCCUAGGAAUAAGGGGUGACUAAACUCGUGCCAGCAGUAGCGGUAAUACGAGUGCCCCAAGCGUUAUCCGGAUUUAUUGGGCGUAAAGGGUCUGUAGGUGGUUUGUUAAGUUUCUCGUUAAAGCUCCAGGGCUUAACCUUGGAAAAGCGGGAAAAACUGGCAAACUAGAGGAUGUUAGGGGCUGAUGGAACACUUGGUGGAGGGGUGAAAUCCGUUGAUAUCAAGUGGAACACCAAAAGCGAAGGCAAUCAGCUAGGACAGUCCUGACACUGAAAGACGAAAGCGUGGGGAGGGAAAA
rnacentral:rRNA from 1 species